CAUUGAUACACCGGUUCCCUUUCGAUUACCGAAGUUAAGCAACGCCGAGCCUGGUCAGUACCUAGAUGAGUGACCACUUGGGAAUACCAGGUGCU